AUGUGGCUGGUCAUUCAUAAGAGAUGUUUGACUGCGGAUAACCUGCAAAAAAGGGGCUGGCCCUCAAAUGAUGUAUGCCCGUUGUGUCUCUCGGUGGCCGAAGACUGCAAUCAUCUGUUCUUAUUUUGCCGAUUCACACAGCAGGUUUGGUCCAGGUUCAGAGACUGGACGCGGGCUUAGUUCUCGAUCCUUGAUGAUCACUAUGACAGCUCUGAAUCUUGGUGGAUCAAUACUCGAAAGGAAAUUCCCAAGUCAGCUCGAAGAAAUUUUGACACCAUCACCAUUCUGAUUCACUGGAGAAUUUGGAAAGAAAGAAACGCGAGGAUUUUUGAGCAUGUGGCCAGCAAUGUGGACAGGGUGAUGGAGCUGACAAGAGAAGAUAUUUCUGUCUGGAGAGCUGCUGGUUGUGUAGGCGAUGUGUACUGA
rnacentral:rRNA from 1 species